rnacentral:lncRNA from 1 species
AGAGAGUGAGCGAGAGAGAGAGCAGAGCAGGGGCAGGGGGAGAGGGAGAAGCAGACCCCCGCUCAACAGGGAGCCCAGUGCAGGGCUUAAUCCCAGGACCCCGGGAUCAUGACCUGAGCCAAAUGGCAGACACUUAACCAACUGAGCCUCCCAGGUGCCCCAACAGGAUGUAAAUCUUUAGAUUAACAAUAUAAAAUAGUAAUGUAACAAGGCUCAAAUUUCAAAAGGGCAUUAUGAGAAUCUAAGCUCAACUUUUACCUAAAGAAUUAUUAAUUCCAUAAAUAUUUGUGAUAUGCUUGCCUACUGUAUACCAGGCAUUAUGCCAGUGAUUAAAAAAAAAAGAAAGAAAGAAAGAAAGAAAGAAAAGAAAAGAAAAGAAAGCCCAAAGAAGCAGUACUGAAAAGGACAUGGUGCUCAAGGAGCUUACCUUGGGAACAAUAAGACAUGUGGAAGCAAAUGGAGUCAUUCUAAUUCGACAAGUUUCGUUGCCCCCAUCUGAAUGGGAGAGGAAAGGAAUCCAGUUUCAGUGGUUUCUGGGCCUUCCCGCACCUCUCCAAGUUUUCACAGGAUCCGGAAACUUUAUGUGGCCCCAGGACGCAAGGAGUGACCCUCUACUCUCCCAUGCAUCAUGGUCACUUUGAAUUCGUUAACCAAAUACUUGCAAAAUACUUACUAAUUCGUGCUGUGCUGAUACAUUCUGAAGAAAAUGUCAUCAUCGCUUUAUCAACAAUACAUUCAGCUCUUCAAAACAGAGAUUUAAAAUUAAUAAAUAGGGGCGCCUGGGUGGCA